AACGAACGCUGGCGGCAUGCCUAACACAUGCAAGUCGAACGAGACCUUCGGGUCUAGUGGCGCACGGGUGCGUAACGCGUGGGAACCUGCCCUUAGGUUCGGAAUAACUCCCCGAAAGGGGUGCUAAUACCGGAUAAUGUCUUCGGACCAAAGAUUUAUCGCCUUUGGAUGGGCCCGCGUUGGAUUAGCUAGUUGGUAGGGUAAAAGCCUACCAAGGCGACGAUCCAUAGCUGGUCUGAGAGGAUGAUCAGCCACACUGGGACUGAGACACGGCCCAGACUCCUACGGGAGGGCGCAGUUGGGAAUAUUGGACAAUGGGCGAAAGCCUGAUCCAGCAAUGCCGCGUGAGUGAUGAAGGCCUUAGGGUUGUAAAGCUCUUUUACCCGGGAAGAUAAUGACAGUACCGGGAGAAUAAGCUCCGGCUAACUCCGUG
rnacentral:rRNA from 1 species